rnacentral:rRNA from 1 species
CCUACGGGGGGCAGCAGUGGGGAAUAUUGGACAAUGGGGGCAACCCUGAUCCAGCCAUGCCGCGUGUGUGAAGAAGGCCCUCGGGUUGUAAAGCACUUUCAGUGAGGAAGAACGCCUGGUGGUUAAUACCCAUCAGGAAAGACAUCACUCACAGAAGAAGCACCGGCUAACUCCGUGCCAGCAGCCGCGGUAAUACGGAGGGUGCGAGCGUUAAUCGGAAUUACUGGGCGUAAAGCGCGCGUAGGUGGCUUGAUAAGCCGGUUGUGAAAGCCCCGGGCUCAACCUGGGAACGGCAUCCGGAACUGUCAAGCUAGAGUGCAGGAGAGGAAGGUAGAAUUCCCGGUGUAGAGGUGAAAUGCGUAGAGAUCGGGAGGAAUACCAGUGGCGAAGGCGGCCUUCUGGACUGACACUGACACUGAGGUGCGAAAGCGUGGGUAGCAAACAGGAUUAGAUACCCUAGUAGUC